AUUGAACGCUGGCGGCAUGCUUUACACAUGCAAGUCGAACGGUAACAGGCCGCAAGGUGCUGACGAGUGGCGAACGGGUGAGUAAUGCAUCGGAACGUGCCCAGUCGUGGGGGAUAACUGCUCGAAAGAGCAGCUAAUACCGCAUACGAUCUAGGGAUGAAAGCGGGGGACCGCAAGGCCUCGCGCGAUUGGAGCGGCCGAUGUCAGAUUAGGUAGUUGGUGGGGUAAAGGCUCACCAAGCCAACGAUCUGUAGCUGGUCUGAGAGGACGACCAGCCACACUGGGACUGAGACACGGCCCAGACUCCUACGGGAGGCAGCAGUGGGGAAUUUUGGACAAUGGGGGCAACCCUGAUCCAGCAAUGCCGCGUGCAGGAAGAAGGCCUUCGGGUUGUAAACUGCUUUUGUACGGAACGAAACGGUCUGGGUUAAUACCCUGGGCUAAUGACGGUACCGUAAGAAUAAGCACCGGCUAACUACGUGCCAGCCGCCGCCGUAAUAC
rnacentral:rRNA from 1 species